rnacentral:rRNA from 1 species
UACGUAAGGGGCGAGCGUUGUUCGGAAUUAUUGGGUGUAAAGGGCGCGUAGGCGGUUUUACAAGUCCGGUGUAUAAGGCAGCAGCUUAACUGUUGUUUUGCGCUGGAAACUGUGAGACUUGAGUUUAGGAGGGGGAGCUGGAAUUCCAGGUGUAGGGGUGAAAUCUGUAGAUAUCUGGAAGAACACCGGUGGCGAAGGCGAGCUCCUAGCCAUAGACUGACGCUGAGGCGCGAAAGCGUGGGGAGCAAACAGG